AAAAGUGUGAAAAAGAAGUCUGAAAGUGUAGAAAAGGUUGUGAAAGAAAAAAAGAUGAUGAAUAAAAGUGCAAGUCAUUUUGGUAGAAUAAAUGUGUCCAACCCCCACGAGUUUAGAAUACUCUUAUAUGUUCAUUUGUGUUUUGCUCUCUGGCUCAUAUUUUCAAUAUCUCCUCUAGGUUUAGUUGUAAAUAGGUGUAAAAUUCUCUCUCCUUUGUUCAUCUUUCCAUACCCCUUCUUUGUUUAGCAACUCACCCUUAGCCCUAUUACAAGUCAAAUAAAGACCUAUUUGAUCUUAGCAUGCAGUUUUUAGAGUUGAUUUAUGGGAGUAUGAAGGGCAAGUCUAUGGGAUUUCAUCUUAAGCCAAGUCUUGCAUAAUCUCAACUGAGUACAUGUGCAUACAAGGUUUUAAUCUACCUAAAUUCGGGUGCCCGGUUAUUGGCCUGAGAGGGGAACUCAUCUGUGAUUCUGAGAUGAUUUUUGAAGCAGGUUAGGUUGUAUAAGGUGGUUGGUGAUAUGAUUGGUUGUGCAGAAAAGAAGUGUGAUCAGCUGCAAUGCUUGGAAGGUGAAUUGUCCUUGGUAAUUGCUUGAGGACAAGCAAAAGUUCUAGUGUGGUUUAUUCACGAACGAGGAGCAAAGGAAGGAUUUUCAGUCAUCUUUGACGAGUUUUCGAAGCAUAGGAACCUAACCAUGGUCGGAAAGGAGCAACGGAGCACGAAAGGAGUCAGAAAGAAUAUCAAGAGGCCGCCUCACGGCCGUGACCCCCACCACGGAUAGCAGCCGGCCACGGCACCUCACGGCCCCGAUCCCGGCCGUGAGGGUGCCCGUGACCCUGCUGCUGUCCAAUAUUUAAUAUCGCAUUUUUCUGUAUUUUUUGCCAUUCCGAGCCCUAGUUUAGUUCAGUACAAUUUUCUUUUUCUUUAGAGUUUUCCAUAGUAUAGAAUAGCGCAGAUUUACCUUCUUGAAUUCGUUUGCAAGCUUGGAAUCAUUGAUUGGAUUGGAAUUACUCUCAAAGAUUGUUAGUAAAGUUCUCUCUUUUAUUCUUUA